AUUAACGCUGGCGGCAUGCCUAAUACAUGCAAAUCGAACGAAGCCUUUUGGCUUAGUGGUGAACGGGUGAGUAACACGUAUCCAAUCUACCCUUAAGUUUGGGAUAACUAGUCGAAAGAUUAGCUAAUACCGGAUAAUAACAUUCACUUGCAUGAGUGAAUGUGGAAAGUUGCGUUUGCAACGCUUUUGGAUGAGGGUGCGACGUAUCAGAUAGUUGGUGAGGUAACGGCUCACCAAGUCAUUGACGCGUAGCUGUACUGAGAGGUAGAACAGCCACAAUGGGACUGAGACACGGCCCAU
rnacentral:rRNA from 1 species